UGACAAGUUGGUGCAAAGGGCAGAGUUUGUAGGAAUAAUUUACAGGGAAUUAUAAUAUAUAUAUUAUAUAAUAAUUCCCUGUAAAUUAUUCCUACAAACUCUGCCCUUUGAACCAACUUGUCA